rnacentral:rRNA from 2 species
GUGCGAGACCGAUAGCGAACAAGUACCGUGAGGAAAAGAUGAAAAGAACUUUGAAAAGAGAGUUAAAGAGUACCUGAAACUGCUGAAAGGGAAGCGAAUCGUAUCCAGUGUCUAUAAUCUGCGGCAUAUUUCAUUGGCGGCGGUACGCGUGCUUUUGCGUCGGAAGCGGCUUUUGUUGCUCUGUGCUUUUGCUGUGCGUGGUGUUGCUGGUGCCCUGUGUUGCGGUGGGACGUCAGAGUCAGUUUGUAUGCUGCGGGAAAUGGCUGCGGAGGAGGUAGGUCGAGAUUUCGGUCUUGGCUGUUAUAUCUUGGUGGUUUGUUGUCGUGGUUGAGACUGAGGUGCCUACAAUGUGCUUUUGAGUGCGCCGGGUUCUCAUUUGGUGGACUGUUUGGAUAGCUUGCUAUGCUUGUGGUUUUUUCAUCGAGUGAUUGAGUCUGGUGGUAACUUGUUGCUGUUCGGGACUUUGA